GACGAACGCUGGCGGCGUGCUUAACACAUGCAAGUCGAACGGAAAGGCCCUGCUUUUGUGGGGUGCUCGAGUGGCGAACGGGUGGGUAACACGUGUGUAACCUGCCCUUGACUUUGGGAUAACUUCAGGAAACUGGGGCUAAUACCGGAUAGGAGCUCCUGCUGCAUGGUGGGGGUUGGAAAGUUUCGGCGGUUGGGGAUGGACUCGCGGCUUAUCAGCUUGUUGGUGGGGUAGUGGCUUACCAAGGCUUUGACGGGUAGCCGGCCUGAGAGGGUGACCGGCCACAUUGGGACUGAGAUACGGCCCAGACUCCUACGGGAGGCAGCAGUGGGGAAUAUUGCACAAUGGGCGGAAGCCUGAUGCAGCAACGCCGCGUGCGGGAUGACGGCCUUCGGGUUGUAAACCGCUUUCGCCUGUGACGAAGCGUGAGUGACGGUAAUGGGUAAAGAAGCACCGGCUAACUACGUG
rnacentral:rRNA from 1 species